ensembl:lncRNA
GUAGGUUCCAGUUUGCCUACCCCUCCCCCAGCAGAGAGCCCAAUUCCUCUUUCCUGUCCUUCCUACCCUCACUUAACUCCAAACCUGGCUUGCCACUCACCGGGUAGAGAAGGGCUCCAGGACUCAGGUCCAGAGAAGGCAGCACUCUGGGGAGCAGAUGGGUAGGAAGACAGGUGGCUGUUGGGGCACAGCCCCUCUGGGGCACUGGGGUCACCCGCCUGCCCAGGCCAAUUCUGCCCAAUCAGAGAGCAGGGAGCCACUAGACACAAGCAAUGGCCCCGGAAGUGACGCUUUCUCCUCCCACCUGCGUAGGACUUGGAGCCCCUGCCUGGACCAUGGUUCACUAAUGGAGCCCAGCUUUCCCACUCACGCAUACCACACGGAGGAUUUGAAUAGGGGGAUCUGUCUCUUCCUAGGAGCUGGGAAAUCUGGGAGCCGGCUGGGGGAGAAGACGGGAGGGAAACAGUUUUUUUCCUAGGAGGAAUCUGGCAGGACAUUUUCACCCCUCAGGAAGAGUGGGAAUGUGGGUACUGCGUGUAUUAGAGAAGACCCUGUCAGGGGUCAGCGUUUCCAGGAAGCAGUCUGGACAGUCUGAGAGGACUUCAAGGCUCUCUCCUGUUCCUCCUCCCAAGGAUGGGGCUCUCUGCUAAGGAGUAUGGCCUAGAUCCCGGAAUUCUCCAGUUCAGCCAGACCAGAUGCCUCCCAAGAUUAAGAAGGAGGGUGCUGGGAUGGUUGGGAGGAUGGUGGGAAUGUGGGGGUGGGAAUGUGGGGGUGGGAGGUGGCAGGGAGGCUGUCGUGGCAGGGAGGCUGUCAUGCUUGGGAAAGCAAGACAAAAGAGGUUUGUGGGUAGGGUGGAGAGGCAGAGGGUCCCCCAGGUGAAGGAAGAGGGUGGGGAAGUGUGUCAGGCUGGGGAGGAGGAUGGUUGGAUGGGCCUGAGCACAGGUAAUAGUAGGGAGAGAAACGCUGUCAGCAGACAGAAAGGGAGACAGUCUGUUUCUGGCUAAGUUCCUAUCCCAGGGACAGAGGAAAGAGGAGAGAUCUCAUAGGGGAAGUAGGGACACAGGCUGGGCAAUGAGAGUGGUGUGGGGUUUGAGAGGUGCGGUGGGCCCAGAGACAAGCGAAGAUGAGUUGAUGGGCCCGUCCUGCUCGUUGUCAUCCUUAAAGACAAUUCUUCAUCCUUCCGGCAGGAACUCAGUCUGAACGCAGUGGCCGGCCCAGGCCUCAGGCCGUCUCUGCCCCUCCGUGGCCUGGGGCUCCCAUCCCGGGCCGGACACGCACCUCCUGGUCCAGUUGCCCUGUGGACGCCGGCAGCGGGUGGGUGGGUGGGGGGUGCUCCAGAUCCGCCUCUCCUCCCCGCUUUGCGCCCCCUGGUCCCUCCCCUCCCCCUAUCCCCUCCGCUCCCCCUUCCCCUACAGCCCCUCC